AUUGAACGCUGGCGGCAGGCCUAACACAUGCAAGUCGAGCGGAUGACGGGAGCUUGCUCCUUGAUUCAGCGGCGGACGGGUGAGUAAUGCCUAGGAAUCUGCCUGGUAGUGGGGGACAACGUUUCGAAAGGAACGCUAAUACCGCAUACGUCCCACGGGAGAAAGCAGGGGACCUUCGGGCCUUGCGCUAUCAGAUGAGCCUAGGUCGGAUUAGCUUGUUGGUGAGGUAAUGGCUCACCAAGGCGACGAUCCGUAACUGGUCUGAGAGGAUGAUCAGUCACACUGGAACUGAGACACGGUCCAGACUCCUACGGGAGGCAGCAGUGGGGAAUAUAGGACAAUGGGCGAAAGCCUGAUCCAGCCAUGCCGCGUGUGUGAAGAAGGUCUUCGGAUUGUAAAGCACUUUAAGUUGGGAGGAAGGGUUGUAGAUUAAUACUCUGCAAUUUUGACGUUACCGACAGAAUAAGCACCGGCUAACUCUGUGCCAGCCGCCGCGGUAAAAC
rnacentral:rRNA from 1 species